UCUUUUUAGUAUAAUUAAUACUUAUGACUUCCAAUCAUUUAACCUUAGUUAAAAAUCUAAGAAAAGAUA
rnacentral:tRNA from 1 species